GAUAUCAACUGAAAAAUUCAUCAACAACAAAGUUGAAUAACUCAUCAAGAUCUAAAACUUUUAUUUUGUUCAUUUCUUCAUAUGACAAAGUGAUAGUAACAUUGUUUACAAAAUUGACAUAUGUCUUAUCUGGUUUUAUAAACUAUAACACAUGUUUGUAAAAUUUGUGAAUAAUAUUACUAACAUUCCGUCGGAUGAAGAAAUAAAAAAAAUAAAAGUUUUAGAUCUUGAUAAGUUAUUCAACUUUGUUGUUGAUGACUUUUUCAAUUGAAAUC
rnacentral:pre_miRNA from 1 species